UGAAGUUGGAGAGAGUCGUAGAUCAGAUUCUACAGUUUCCCUUUAGAACGGCGGCGGAGGCAGAGGUGUGGAAAGCGCGCUUUAACGUAAGCAAAAGUCCCCAAAAAGCAAUCGGAAUCUGAAACAGCUAAUUAAAUGACUGCUGAUAUGCCACCGCCACCUCCACCCACCCCCAAUACACACACCCCGCCUAUUGUUAUAAGAACAAUCAAGUGCCUCUAUAACAAUCCGUUCGCUGCCAGUCGGCUAUCUGGAGCUACUGAUUAUACUUUUGCGCGGAACUUAGGCACUUUAUAUUUCAUCUUGCUACGCUACGAAAAUGGAAACAUCAGCCAGAACUAUAAUUUGUACUGGAUCGUGCUUUAAUAUCACUAUACGCUCAUACAUAAGUACCAAAUAUAGAUGGUUGGGUAUGUUGCGUGGGGAGCCCAACAUCCAUUUUGAAAGAUACAGAUUUAUUGGUCAUCUGACUUUAGGAGCACAUGCAUGCAGGAUACUUCCAAUUCUAGAAAUCCAAUAUAUCUAUGUGGAAUUCCACUUACAAGAGUAUUUCAUUUUCGGCGUAAGGCUUCAUUUCCGGGGCAUUUUUCUAUUUAUUGCAUCGUG